rnacentral:misc_RNA from 1 species
GGGGAAUUUUCCGCAAUGGGCGAAAGCCUGACGGAGCAAUACCGCGUGAGGGAGGAAGGCUCUUGGGUUGUAAACCUCUUUUCUCAGGGAAGAACACAAUGACGGUACCUGAGGAAUCAGCAUCGGCUAACUCCGUGCCAGCAGCCGCGGUAAUACGGAGGAUGCAAGCGUUAUCCGGAAUGAUUGGGCGUAAAGCGUCCGCAGGUGGUGAUGUAAGUCUGCUGUCAAAGCGUCUAGCUCAACUAGAUACAGGCAGUGGAAACUACAUGACUAGAGUGCGUUCGGGGCAGAGGGAAUUCCUGGUGUAGCGGUGAAAUGCGUAGAUAUCAGGAAGAACACCGGUGGCGAAAGCGCUCUGCUAGGCCGCAACUGACACUGAGGGACGAAAGCUAGGGGAGCGAAUGGGAUUAGAUACCCCAGUAGUCCUAGCCGUAAACGAUGGAUACUAGGCGUGGCUUGUAUCGACCCGAGCCGUGCCGUAGCUAACGCGUUAAGUAUCCCGCCUGGGGAGUACGCACGCAAGUGUGAAACUCAAAGGAAUUGACGGGGGCCCGCACAAGCGGUGGAGUAUGUGGUUUAAUUCGAUGCAACGCGAAGAACCUUACCAAGACUUGACAUGUCGCGAAUUGGAGUGAAAGCUUCAAGUGCCUUAGGGAGCGCGAACACAGGUGGUGCAUGGCUGUCGUCAGCUCGUGUCGUGAGAUGUUGGGUUAAGUCCCGCAACGAGCGCAACCCUCGUUUUUAGUUGCCAGCAUUAAGUUGGGCACUCUAGAGAGACUGCCGGUGACAAACCGGAGGAAGGUGGGGAUGACGUCAAGUCAGCAUGCCCCUUACGUCUUGGGCUACACACGUACUACAAUGCUCCGGACAGAGGGCAGCGAGCAUGCGAAUGCAAGCAAAUCCCGAAAACCGGAGCUCAGUUCAGAUCGCAGGCUGCAACUCGCCUGCGUGAAGGAGGAAUCGCUAGUAAUUGCAGGUCAGCAUACUGCAGUGAAUUCGUUCCCGGGCCUUGUACACACCGCCCGUCACACCAUGGAAGCUGGCAACGCCCGAAGUCAUUACUCCAACCGUCAAAAAGAGGAGGAUGCCUAAGGCAGUGCUGGUGACUGGGGUGAAGUCGUAACAAGGUAGCCGUACCGGAAGGUGUGGCUGGAUCACCUCCUUUUAGGGAGACCUACCCAACUUUGAGAUCGAAAGCAAAGCGCUUGUAGAGACAAAGAUGGUCUACUCUAGGUCGGUCGUGGGACUUGAGGUAAGCUUUCAAACUAUAUUUGGUUCGUAAUUGGGCUAUUAGCUCAGGUGGUUAGAGCGCACCCCUGAUAAGGGUGAGGUCCCUGGUUCGAGUCCAGGAUGGCCCACCUGAAAGUAAUUAGUAAUUACUAAUUCGUAAUUCGUAAUUAACUACGAAUUAAGAAUUACGAAUUACGAAUUGUAUCUGGGGGUUUAGCUCAGUUGGUAGAGCGCCUGCUUUGCAAGCAGGAUGUCAGCGGUUCGAGUCCGCUAACCUCCACCUGUAAAAAGUAGAGCAUUAAUUCAGCAACAUGACAUUGAGAUAGUGAUGUCAGACUGCUGGGUAUAAAUCUCAGCCAGAACCUUGAAAACUGCAUAGUGACGCGAAAAUAGCAGGCAGACACAGACAUUCAAGUAAUGAAUUGUGUUUGCAGGUGAACACCAAUGUAAGUGGUCAAGCUAAUAAGGGCUCAUGGUGGAUACCUAGGCACACAGAGA